UACGAAGGGUGCAAACGUUGCUCGGAAUCAUUGGGCGUAAAGCGCACGUAGGCGGCUUCAAAAGUCGGAUGUGAAAUCCCGUGGCUCAACCAUGGACGUGCAUUCGAAACUGCGAAGCUUGAGUAUGGAAGAGGGUCGCGGAAUUCCCGGUGUAGAGGUGAAAUUCGUAGAUAUCGGGAGGAACACCAGUGGCGAAGGCGGCACUCUGGGCCGGUACUGACGCUGAGGAGCGAAAGCGUGGGGAGCGAACAGG
rnacentral:rRNA from 1 species